GCUACUCCACUCAAAUCUCAUAGGUGAAGGAAUAGUAUACUCACUCACUGUAUAUAGGCAAAUCUGCUAAACCAACUACCAAGCGACUAUGCUCGCUAUCAAGGUAAGUCUAGUGAAGGUUAACUACCAUACCACUAGGUUCAUCAAUAGGGCUAUUCAUUAGACCACCCAAUCAGCCGGUAAGCCAAAGGCAACUAUGAUCAACAACAACAACUAUGGAAGCAAGCUAUCGUGAACAACAACAAUGGGUAUGGCUCAAUAGGUAACCCAAUCUCAAGGUGAACUCGUGGUUCACAAGCAAGGCUCACAUAUCAAUCUCCUAGGGAUGUCGAGCUGGACUAUCCCCGAGUACGCCUGCGGAUAACAAGCGGCUAUCCGAGCAGCAAGCACGGCUGCCUCUCUAGUGACCAAACUCCGGAGCGCACAACCUGGGGGGAGCGACCCCACCAAGCGCAGACAGGCAAUGUGAGCGUGAUCAUCUCACGAGCAACAGCAACCUACCCUCUAAGGGUAAUCUCAUCAUGGAAUCAAGGUGUUCUUGUACCCAAUCUCAUAGUGUUUCAACUACACUAAGGUUCUCAUGUCAAGGUUAUCAACAAUCAUAUGCCACUCAUCAUAGUUUUCUAAACUAGAUGCCACUCGUCAUUUAGACUCAUUUCAAUACUAGUUACAUCAUACUAGUUCUUUAGCAACAUAAGCAUUAAACAUCUCAUAUAGGAUCUAGGUCUUUAUUGUAGGGUUUUCAUCAUGUAAUCAUCAUGCAUACUAGAUCAUGGAACAAUCAUCAAGAUGUAUAGCUACUAGCAUGCAAAUAUGAGCAAUGACCAUAAUCAUCUAGCACCUAAGUGCAAUAAAUACAAUAUGCAACUUAAUCGAUUAAUGCAUUCAACAAGUUUAACCCACAUUAAUCAUGCCCUUAUAGGGUUUCACCACACUAAGUCCUAAUCUCAUGCAUACUAGGUACAAGUAUUAAUCAAGUAACACUACACUCUCACUAGCAUGCCAUGACAUGUAACAAUUGCCAACUAGUACCCUAUAAUGCAAUAUCCCAAUAUGCAACUUGAUCAAUGUUACUAGAGUUUCUAGUGCAACAACCAAUCCAUUACUAGCUCAAGUCAUAUGUGUUUUUAGCACAAUGAGUUCAAUGCCACUUGUAAACUAUGUCUUUAAACACAACACUAGGUUCUUCUUUCAUUUAGCAUCAUAGGUUUACCAAUGUCAUCUCAUAAUCCUUAUGUCCAUUACAUCAUAUAUCCAUAUCAUAAUACUAUAUUGAUCAUAAACAUCAUAUAAGGAUUAGGAAUGCAUGUAUUGUCAUCCUAUAAUGCAAGGUAUCGAUAUACAAUAUGCUACAUGUGAAUGGAUAAGCAUUAAGACAUAGGAAGAAGC
rnacentral:lncRNA from 1 species